rnacentral:lncRNA from 1 species
UCUCGUUGAGUGUGAGUUAAUUCUUUCGGACCUUCAUGUUGACAUUGCUGCAAUCUUUAGUUCUCAGGGUUGGGAACUUCUUUUGUUCAGUCUUUCCCCAUCCCCUCCACUCCUAGUUCAAGAAUUCUACGCCAAUAUUCAUGAUGUUGACGGGACGUCGUUUAGGAGUUUUCUUAGGAGUCAGUCUCUCCGGCUAUCCCCGGAUGUUGUCCCUCGUAUUUUAGGUAUUCCUCAAGUCACACAUCCUAUGUAUCCUUAUCUGCUUUCGGCUUCCAUUUAAGAUGACUCUCUUGUCCAAUCAACUUUUA